rnacentral:rRNA from 1 species
UACGUAGGGGGCAAGCGUUAUCCGGAUUUACUGGGUGUAAAGGGAGCGUAGGCGGCAGUGCAAGUCUGGAGUGAAAGGCGGGGGCUCAACCCCCGGACUGCUCUGGAAACUGUACGGCUGGAGUGCAGGAGAGGUAAGUGGAAUUCCUAGUGUAGCGGUGAAAUGCGUAGAUAUUAGGAGGAACACCAGUGGCGAAGGCGGCUUACUGGACUGUAACUGACGUUGAGGCUCGAAAGCGUGGGGAGCAAACAGG